rnacentral:rRNA from 1 species
AGGGUUUGAUCAUGGCUCAGGACGAACGCUGGCGGCAUGCCUAACACAUGCAAGUCGAACGAGAAAGUUCCUUCGGGAGCAAUUAAAGUGGCGCACGGGUGAGUAACGCGUAGACAAUCUGCCCUUCAGUCUGGGACAACUUUUCGAAAGGAGAGCUAAUACCGGAUAACAAUGCAUGACACAAGUUGUAUAUUUGAAAGCUUUAUGUGCUGAAGGAGGGGUCUGCGUCCCAUUAGCUAGUUGGUAAGGUAAAGGCUUACCAAGGCAACGAUGGGUAGCGGGUUUGAGAGGACGAUCCGCCACACUGGAACUGAGACACGGUCCAGACUCCUACGGGAGGCAGCAGUGGGGAAUAUUGCACAAUGGAGGAAACUCUGAUGCAGCAAUGUCGCGUGAGUGAAGAAGGCCCUUGGGUCGUAAAGCUCUUUUAUGGGGGAAGAUGAUGACGGUACCCCAAGAAUAAGCACCGGCUAACUAUGUGCCAGCAGCCGCGGUAAUACAUAGGGUGCGAGCGUUGUUCGGAAUUACUGGGCGUAAAGGGCGCGCAGGCGGAAUAGUAAGUCGGAGGUGAAAGCCCGGGGCUCAACCCCGGAGGGUCUUUCGAAACUACUAAUCUAGAGAGGGUCAGGGGCCGGCAGAAUUCCUGGUGUAGAGGUGAAAUUCGUAGAUAUCAGGAGGAAUA